rnacentral:rRNA from 1 species
AUUGAACGCUGGCGGCAUGCCUUACACAUGCAAGUCGAAACGGCAGCGGACCUUCGGGUGCCGGCGAGUGGCGAACGGGUGAGUAAUGCAUCGGAACGUGCCCAUGUCGUGGGGGAUAACGUAGCGAAAGCUACGCUAAUACCGCAUACGCCCUGAGGGGGAAAGCGGGGGAUUCUUCGGAACCUCGCGCGAUUGGAGCGGCCGAUGUCGGAUUAGCUAGUAGGUGAGGUAAAGGCUCACCUAGGCGACGAUCCGUAGCGGGUCUGAGAGGAUGAUCCGCCACACUGGGACUGAGACACGGCCCAGACUCCUACGGGAGGCAGCAGUGGGGAAUAUUGGACAAUGGGCGCAAGCCUGAUCCAGCCAUGCCGCGUGGAGGAUGAAGAUCUUCGGGUCGUAAACUCCUUUCGAUCGAGACGAAUGGCCCUUGGGAUAAUACCAUGAGGGAGUGACGGUACCGAGAGAAGAAGCCCCGGCUAACUCCGUG